rnacentral:lncRNA from 1 species
GGCGUUGAAAACAAAUAUAAUUUACUAUUUUAUACUAACAUGCUUUUGCAUUCUCUAUUGUUCAAGAGCAUACACUAAAAUUGAUGAACAGAUGCAAAACACAAACAUAAGAAUCUAAACUACAAGUCUACCAACUAAAAGAGUACGUAGAAACCGGAAGGGAGAAUCCUUUAUUUACAUUUGUAUCUCUAUCUACUUCCAAAAAUCAAAACAACGGACAAAGAAGAUUUGAUGUUUGAUUUAGGAGUGGUCGGAGUAGUUCUUAUUAUGAUUACUAUUAUCAGUCCAGCAAAGAAGCAUGAUGACGCAUCUCCUUAUGAUGUAAAAACGAGCUCCUUGUUCUCUCACUAGUCUCCCACACUUCCUUGUGAAACCGUGUUUCCCUUGCUUCUUCUGUCUCAACGAGCUUGUGACUCUCGACGUGUCUCCAUCAUCUCCAAAGGUUUCCUUUUUUGAUGAUAGGUUCCAUCUCUGAAACUGCGGUGCGUUUGCUGAUGAUCUAGUCAUUUAACUGAAGAUCUGGCCACGAAAGAUUUUAUUGUUGGAGAUUGAUGGAUUAUGGAAUCUGUUCUCUUUAACUUGGGAGAUUCAGCAAAGAUAAAGAAAGAGUAGUAGAG